rnacentral:rRNA from 1 species
AACGAACGCUGGCGGCAUGCCUAACACAUGCAAGUCGAACGAGACCUUCGGGUCUAGUGGCGCACGGGUGCGUAACGCGUGGGAACCUGCCCUUAGGUUCGGAAUAACUCCCCGAAAGGGGUGCUAAUACCGGAUAAUGUCUUCGGACCAAAGAUUUAUCGCCUUUGGAUGGGCCCGCGUUGGAUUAGCUAGUUGGUAGGGUAAAAGCCUACCAAGGCGACGAUCCAUAGCUGGUCUGAGAGGAUGAUCAGCCACACUGGGACUGAGACACGGCCCAGACUCCUACGGGAGGCAGCAGUAGGGAAUAUUGGACAAUGGGCGGAAGCCUGAUCCAGCAAUGCCGCGUGAGUGAUGAAGGCCUUAGGGUUGUAAAGCUCUUUUACCCGGGAUGAUAAUGACAGUACCGGGAGAAUAAGCUCCGGCUAACUCCGUG